ACUGACAUGAGGCUUCACAGUGGCCAGGGCAGCUGGGGCCGUAGAGGACAUGGCCUGGACUCUCAUCCCUUCCUGUAGCUUCGGGGCACAAGGUCUCUCUCUGUCACCCAGGCUGGAGUACAGUGCUGUGGUCAUAGCUCACUGCAGCCUCGAACUCCUGGGCUCAAGUGGUCCUCCAUUCAUUUCUGUGUCCUCAGUCUCCAGCACAGGACCAGCCAGGCACAGAGAGGGACUCAUUGGAGAAGUGUGGCCUUUCUCAAGCAGGAGAGAGGCGAGGAGGAGCUGGAGCACCGGCAGGGGUGGAGGGGGCUGAUUUAGUGGAUGGUGACCCUGGUUUCUGUCUGUUUGGUUUUGUUUGUUGAGGAUGGAAAGGCUUUAAGUGCAUUUAAAUACUGACGGGAAAAGCUAAGGAAGGGGGCGAGAGGUGGACAUUGAAGUAGAGCAAGGCCUGUUACAGAGUGGAAGGCAGGGGCUGGAGCACAUGAUUUUGAUGAUUUUGAUUCCCCUCUAACACAUAGCCUCCCCUAUUUGAUCUGCUUAAGUCCUGUUUUUUUUUUUUUUUAGGACGGAGUCUUGCUUUGUCACCCAGGCUGGAGUG
rnacentral:lncRNA from 1 species